GGCAAGAUGUCCGAGUGGUCUAUGGAGCUUCGCUCAAGUUAUAGUUGAACUUACUUCUGUAAAAGAGGUUCGAAGUGUUGCAAAACGCGUGGGUUCGAAUCCCACUCUUGUCA